rnacentral:tRNA from 1 species
GGUGGCUCAAUGGUAGAGCGCUUGCCUUGCAUGCAUGAAGCCCUGGGUUCAAUUCCUCAGCACCA